rnacentral:rRNA from 1 species
GUAGGUGGCAAGCGUUGUCCGGAAUUAUUGGGCGUAAAGCGCGCGCAGGGCGGUCCUUUAAGUCUGAUGUGAAAGCCCACGGCUCAACCGUGGAGGGUCAUUGGAAACUGGGGGACUUGAGUACAGAAGAGGAAAGCGGAAUUCCAAGUGUAGCGGUGAAAUGCGUAGAGAUUUGGAGGAACACCAGUGGCGAAGGCGGCUUUCUGGUCUGUAACUGACGCUGAGGCGCGAAAGCGUGGGGAGCAAACAGGAUUAGAUACCCUGGUAGCCCACGCCGUAAACGAUGAGUGCUAAGUGUUAGGGGGUUUCCGCCCCUUAGUGCUGCAGCUAACGCAUUAAGCACUCCGCCUGGGGAGUACGGCCGCAAGGCUG